UGCCAGCCGCCGCGGUAAGACGGAGGGUGCUAGCGUUGUUCGGAAUGACUGGGCGUAAAGGGCGCGUAGGCGGUUUUGUUAGUCAGGCGUGAAAGCCCCGGGCUCAACCCGGGAACUGCGUUUGAUACUGCAAGACUUGAGGACGGAAGAGGAAAGUGGAAUUCCUAGUGUAGAGGUGAAAUUCGUAGAUAUUAGGAGGAACACCAGAGGCGAAGGCGGCUUUCUGGUCCGUUACUGACGCUGAGGCGCGAAAGCGUGGGGAGCAAACAGGAUUAGAUA
rnacentral:rRNA from 1 species